rnacentral:rRNA from 1 species
AUGUGGCGGGUCCGCGUCGCCGGCGAGCCUGUCAAUAAUCGGUCCCGACUUGGCGGAGGUGACCGGGCCGGAGAAGAGCUGCCGGCUGCUCUGGUCGUGGCAUUGGCUGCUCUGCUGGUGCUCUCGGUCCUUGUGGUCGUCACUGACAAGGAGGAGGUCGAGGCCGCGCAUGGGGUCGCCGAAGACGAGACAGAUGCGGUGGUAGACGGCGCAGACGGCGCGCGCGAGCAGGAGCACGGCCUUGUCGUAGGUCCAGCCCCAGAGCGAGGCGUCGCGGAGGCGGCGCGCGUCCUGGCGCCGCCAGCGGGCGCGCUGCAGGAGCGCGCGGCGGGCCUCGUCGGUGGGGAGCUUGCGGGCCGACUCCUCGAGGUCGGCGAGCGCGUCCAGCUCGGCGUAGAGCGCGGCCGUGGCGGACGCGAGGCGGUCGAGCUGCCGGAGGAGCUGCGCCUCGGACUGAGACGCGGGGGCGAAGAAGGGGUAGGCCGAGGCAGGGGAGCGGCCGGCGAGGAGGUCGGCGUAGACGUGGUCGAAGCCCUGGAGCGCCGGGGCGGCGCAGCGGCGGCCGAGGCGCGCGGCGACGGCGGCGACGCGGUUGAGCGCGUCGAGCUUCUCGGCAAGCGCGAGGGCGAGGAGGCGCGCGUCGUCGCCCGGGACGAGCGCGCGGACGGCGUGGGAGCCGAGGCAGAGCGGGCCGAGCAGGCGGGCGGCCUCGGCGGCGGAGAGCGAGCGGUGGAGGCUGGCGGCGCGCGACAUGGCGUUGGCCAGCUCGAAGGACAGGAUGCCGACCCUGCCGCCGGCGCCGUCCCUGUCCCCCUUCCUGCCGGCCUUCUUGUUGGAGAGGGUGGCGGUGGCCAUGGCGAGCACCUUGUGCACCAGCGGCUCGGCCACCAUGGCCUCCCUCCCAAGGUGCUUGUGCUGGUGCGGCGGAGAAAGGAAGGAGUAAAUCCAAGCAACGCGACGGCGCGUGGAUUUGAAUUGGAACCCCUCCCUCCCCUUGGCUGGCUCCGAUCUAUCUCGAAAAUCAAUGGCGGAGCAGAGAAGUCAACGCGUCGGGACAGUACUGGCAGUACUGUUACCAGACAGCAGCAGCCAGCAGCGCUGCCGCCAUUAACCAGAGAGAGAGAGAGAGAGAGAGACAGACCAAAAAGGAGCUGGCCGGGAAGAUGGGGGAGGAAGAAACAAAAAAGAACGAAAAUCUCUCUCUCUCUCUCUCGCCGGUCGGGUCCCUGCUUCCUUCCUACCAGGAAUUAG